UUUGCUUAGAUUCUUCGGAUGAAGAGGAUUGUGACUGAGCGGCGGACGGGUGAGUAACGCGUGGGUAACCUGCCUCAUACAGGGGGAUAACAGUUGGAAACGGCUGCUAAUACCGCAUAAGCGCACAGUACCGCAUGGUACGGUGUGAAAAACUCCGGUGGUACAGGAUGGGCCCGCGUCUGAUUAGUUAGUUGGCGGGGUAACGGCCCACCAAGACAGCGAUCAGUAGCCGACCUGAGAGGGUGACCGGCCACAUUAGGACUGAGACACGGCCCAAACUCC
rnacentral:rRNA from 1 species